GAGUUUACAACUCCCAAACCCCUGUGAACAUACCACUUGUUGCCUCGGCGGAUCAGCCCGCUCCCGGUAAAACGGGACGGCCCGCCAGAGGACCCCUAAACUCUGUUUCUAUAUGUAACUUCUGAGUAAAACCAUAAAUAAAUCAAAACUUUCAACAACGGAUCUCUUGGUUCUGGCAUCGAUGAAGAACGCAGCAAAAUGCGAUAAGUAAUGUGAAUUGCAGAAUUCAGUGAAUCAUCGAAUCUUUGAACGCACAUUGCGCCCGCCAGUAUUCUGGCGGGCAUGCCUGUUCGAGCGUCAUUUCAACCCUCAAGCACAGCUUGGUGUUGGGACUCGCGUUAAUUCGCGUUCCCCAAAUUGAUUGGCGGUCACGUCGAGCUUCCAUAGCGUAGUAGUAAAACCCUCGUUACUGGUAAUCGUCGCGGCCACGCCGUUAAACCCCAACUUCUGAAUGUUGACCUCGGAUCAGGUAGGAAUACCCGCUGAACUUAAGCAUAUCAA
rnacentral:rRNA from 1 species